rnacentral:rRNA from 1 species
UACGUAGGGGGCAAGCGUUGUCCGGAAUUAUUGGGCGUAAAGAGCGCGUAGGCGGUCCGAUAAGUCGGCUGUGAAAGUCCAGGGCUCAACCCUGGAAAGCCGGCCGAUACUGUCGGACUAGAGUCCGGAAGAGGCAAGUGGAAUUCCCGGUGUAGCGGUGAAAUGACGCAGAUAUCGGGAGGAACACCAAUUGCGAAGGCAGCUUGCUGGGACGGUACUGACGCUGAGGCGCGAAAGCGUGGGAGCAAACAGG